rnacentral:rRNA from 1 species
CAAGCGGUGGAGCAUGUGGUUUAAUUCGAUGCAACGCGAAGAACCUUACCUGGUCUUGACAUCCACGGAAGUUUUCAGAGAUGAGAAUGUGCCUUCGGGAACCGUGAGACAGGUGCUGCAUGGCUGUCGUCAGCUCGUGUUGUGAAAUGUUGGGUUAAGUCCCGCAACGAGCGCAACCCUUAUCCUUUGUUGCCAGCGGUCCGGCCGGGAACUCAAAGGAGACUGCCAGUGAUAAACUGGAGGAAGGUGGGGAUGACGUCAAGUCAUCAUGGCCCUUACGACCAGGGCUACACACGUGCUACAAUGGCGCAUACAAAGAGAAGCGACCUCGCGAGAGCAAGCGGACCUCAUAAAGUGCGUCGUACUCCGGAUUGGAGUCUGCACCUCGACUCCAUGAAGUCGGAAUCGCUAGUAAUCGUGGAUCAGAAUGCCACGGUGAAUACGUUCCCGGGCCUUGUACACACC